UACGAAGGGGGCUAGCGUUGCUCGGAAUUACUGGGCGUAAAGGGCGCGUAGGCGGAUAGUUUAGUCAGAGGUGAAAGCCCAGGGCUCAACCUUGGAAUUGCCUUUGAUACUGGCUAUCUUGAGUACGGGAGAGGUGUGUGGAACUCCGAGUGUAGAGGUGAAAUUCGUAGAUAUUCGGAAGAACACCCGUGGCGAAGGCGGCUCUCUGGAACGCAACUGACGCUGAGACGCGAAAGCGUGGGGAGCAAACAGG
rnacentral:rRNA from 1 species